GACGAACGCUGGCGGCGUGCCUAAUACAUGCAAGUCGAGCGAAGCGGGGACGGGUGAGUAACACGUGGAUAACCUCCUAUAAGUCUGGGAUAACUUCGGGAAACCGGAGCUAAACCGGAUAAUUAUAGAUGGAUCCGCGCUGCAUUAGCUGGUUGGUAAGGUAACGGCUUACCAAGUCAACGAUGCAUAGCCGACCUGAGAGUGUGAGCAGCCACACUGGAACUGAGACACGGUCCAGACUCCGCCGGGAGGCAGCAGUAGGGAAUCUUCCGAAAUGGGCGAAAGCCUGACGGAGCAACGCCGCGUGAGUGAUGAAGGUCUUCGGAUCGUAAAGCUCUGUGAUUAGGGAAGCGGUACCUAAUCUGAACGCCACGGCUAACUACGUGCCAGCAGCCGCGGUAAUUC
rnacentral:rRNA from 1 species